AGCGCUUAGAACGGUGCUCCGCACAUAGUAAGCGCUUAACAAAUGCCAUCAUUAUUAUUAUACUAUGCUCAGUAGGGAGAUUGGGAAGAGAGGAACAAAACUUUCUUUGUAGAGUCAUUCAUCCCAUCGUAUCUAUUGAGCGCUCACUGCGUGCAGAGCACUCUACCCAGCGCUUGGAAAGGACAAUUCGGCAGUGAGUAGAGACAGCCCCUGCCAACAGCAGGCUCACAGUCUACAAGGGAUUUUCUCCACUAAAACCAGCCACACCUCACCGGAUCCGGGAGGAGUAAGCCCGCGGCCGACCGAGACCCAGAUUUUCCCAAGGUCACUCCGCAAUGCAGGACUGAGUUCAGAACUUGAGUCCCAGCUCCAGUCAUUUUCUGAGACACUUCUCUGCGCCGACCUUUCUCGCCUGUUUCCGUAACCUCUGUCCAACUUUUCAUCGGGCAGCUUUUCUCGUCAUCUAGACUGUAAACUCAACUCUAGACGACCGUAAGCUCACCGUGGGCAGGUUACGCGUCUACCAACUCUGUGCUGUCCCUACUCUGUGUCUCUACGGAGCUCCACACACAGCCCCCGGAGGUGGCUUCCCCUCUCGUCGGCCGGGCGGCGAACGAAUCUGCAGCGGAACUAACUCCCGAGCCGACAUUUUGGCCUCGCCACUUGUUCAGCGAAAAGCCCCAGGGAAUCUUCGCUACGGAACGGCGUCCAGGGUGUCCCUACCUCGUCUCCCUCAAACCAGGAAGGAGAGUUUGACUCCAGUGACUAACGCUCUGCAAAGCGCUUGGGAGAGAAUGGUACAACAGAGUUGGUAGACCGCGGUCUCUGCCCUCAGAGAGCUCCCGAUCCGGCUCUCAGAUGGGUAUUGCUACUGUAGCACAUUUUACUUGCUCCACCCAACCCAGUGGGGAAUAAUAAUUAUGGUACUUGUGAAGCUCUCACUAUGUGCCAAGCACUGGGGUAGAUACAGUUUAUUAUGGAGCUCACAUGUGGGGUCACACUCUUAAAUGCCUCGGACUUUCUGGUGUCGCGCUCUUUUUUUUUGUGUAUGGUAUUUGCUAAGCGCUUAC